GUAAACCCAAGGUUUCCAGGGGAAGGUUCGUCCGCCCUGGGUUAGUCGGGACCUAAGCUGAGGCCGAAAGGCGUAGGUGAUGGACAACAGGUUGAUAUUCCUGUACUACCGAUAACCGUUUGAGAGAAGGGAUGACACAGUAGGAUAAGCUAAGCACACUGUUGGUUAUGUGUGCCCAAGCAUUGAGGCAGUCAAAGUAGGCAAAUCCGCUUUGAUAAUGCUGGGAUGUGAUGGGGAGCGAAAUUUAGUAGCGAAGUAGCUGAUUUCACACUGUCAAGAAAAGUCUCUAUCGAGGUUAAAGGUACCCGUACCGCAAACCGACACAGGUGGGUGAGGAGAGUAUCCUAAGGCCAGCGAGAGAACUGUUGUUAAGGAACUCGGCAAAAUGACCCCGUAACUUAGGGAUAAGGGGUGCCACCAUCAGGUGGCCGCAGAGAAUAGGCCCAAGCGACUGUUUACCAAAAACAUAGGUUUCUGCUAAGUCGCAAGACGAUGUAUAGGAGCUGACGCCUGCCCGGUGCUGGAAGGUUAAGGGGAUCUGUUAGAGCAAUCGAAGCAGUGAACUUAAGCCCCAGUAAACGGCGGCCGUAACUAUAACGGUCCUAAGGUAGCGAAAUUCCUUGUCGGGUAAGUUCCGACCCGCACGAAAGGCGUAACGAUUUGGGCACUGUCUCA
rnacentral:rRNA from 1 species